rnacentral:rRNA from 1 species
UACGUAGGGGGCUAGCGUUGUCCGGAAUCAUUGGGCGUAAAGAGCGCGUAGGCUGCCAGAUAAGUCCGGUGUGAAAGUCACAGGCUCAACCUGUGAAUGCCGCUGGAAACUGUCUGGCUAGAGUCCGGAAGAGGCGAGUGGAAUUCCUGGUGUAGCGGUGGAAUGCGCAGAUAUCAGGAGGAACACCAAUAGCGAAGGCAGCUCGCUGGGACGGUACUGACGCUAAGGCGCGAAAGCGUGGGGAGCGAACAGG